rnacentral:rRNA from 1 species
UACGGAGGGUGCAAGCGUUGCUCGGAAUUAUUGGGCGUAAAGGGUAGGUAGGUGGUCUCAUUUGUGUGGGGUGAAAGCCUUGGGCUUAACUCAAGAAGUGCCCCGCAAACGGUGAGACUGGAGUCUUGGAGAGGGUUGCGGAAUUCCCGGUGUAGCGGUGAAAUGCGUAGAGAUCGGGAGGAACACCAGAGGCGAAGGCGGCAACCUGGACAAGUACUGACACUCAACUACGAAAGCGUGGGGAGCAAACAGG